UAACAAACCACAACCAACCUCCCU
rnacentral:piRNA from 1 species